rnacentral:rRNA from 1 species
GAUUUCUGGUUUGGUAUGCCUGACCCGUCAUGGUUACAUGAUUGUGUGUCGGUGCGUGCCUGCCAUCCUUCUAGAGAACAUGAGACCACCCUUCAUUGGGUUGGAUUCAUGUCGCUCUAGAUCUUUUACUUUGAAAAAAUUAGAGUGUUUCAAGCAGGCUUUAUGCUAUGAAUACAUUAGCAUGGAAUAAUAAUUUAGGACUUCGGUUCUAUUUUGUUGGUUUCUAGGACUGAAGUAAUGAUUGAUAGGGAUAGUUGGGGGUGCUAGUAUUCAGCGGCCAGAGGUGAAAUUCUCGGAUUCGCUGAAGACUAACUUAUGCGAAAGCAUU